UACGAGGGGGGCGAGCGUUGUUCGGAAUUAUUGGGCGUAAAGGGUGCGUAGGCGGUUUGGUAAGUCUGAUGUGAAAUCUAAUGGGCUCAACUCAUAGUCUGCAUCGGAAACUGCCGGGCUUGAGUGUGGGAGAGGUGAGUGGAAUUCUGGUGUAGCGGUGAAAUGCGUAGAUAUCAGGAGGACACCUGUGGCGAAAGCGGCUCACUGGACCAUAACUGACGCUGAUGGCACGAAGGCCGGGGAGCAAACGGG
rnacentral:rRNA from 1 species